AUUGAACGCUGGCGGCAGGCCUAACACAUGCAAGUCGAGCGAGCGGCGGACGGGUGAGUAAUGUCCGGGAAACUGCCUGUUGGAGGGGGAUAACUACUGGAAACGGUAGCUACUACCGCAUACCAUCAGAUGUUCCCAGAUGGGAUUAGCUAGUUGGUGGGGUAACGGGUCACCUAGGCGACGAUCCCUAGCUGGUCUGUGAGGAUGACCAGCCAAACUGGAACAGAGACACGGUCCAGACUCCUACGGGAGGCAGCAGUGGGGAAUAUUGCACAAUGGGCGCAAGCCUGAUGCAGCAAUGCCGCGUGUGUGAAAAAGGCCUUCGGGUUGUAAAGCACUUUCAGCGGGGAGGCGUUACCCGCAGAAGAAGCACCGGCUAACUCCGUGCCAGCAGCCGCGGUAAUAC
rnacentral:rRNA from 1 species